UACGUAGGCAGCAAGCGUUGUUCGGAAUCACUGGGCGUAAAGGGCGCGUAGGCGGCCGGCCAAGUCGGGGGUGAAAGCCUGUGGCUCAACCACAGAAUGGCCCUCGAUACUGGACGGCUCGAGACCGGAAGAGGUUGGUGGAAUUGCGAGUGUAGAGGUGAAAUUCGUAGAUAUUCGCAAGAACACCGGUGGCGAAGGCGGCCAACUGGUCCGGAUCUGACGCUGAGGCGCGAAAGCGUGGGGAGCAAACAGG
rnacentral:rRNA from 1 species